rnacentral:rRNA from 1 species
CUAACMCAUGCAAGUCCAACGGVAGGCUUGAUUUCGGHCGAGCCGAGAGUGGCGAACGGGUGAGUAACACGUAGCUCAUCUACCCUGGAGAGGGGGAUAACGGCUGGAAACGACCGCUAAUACCCCGUACGCUUACGGUCCGUAGAAACCGUAAGAAAGGCUUUGGCGCUCUGGGAUGAGGCUGCGGUCCAUCAGCUAGUUGGUAGGGUAACGGCCUACCAAGGCGAAGACGGAUAGGGGGCCUGAGAGGGUGACCCCCCACACUGGCACUGAGAUACGGGCCAGACUCCUACGGGAGGCAGCAGUGAGGAAUAUUGCACAAUAGGCGCAAGCCUGAUGCAGCAACGCCGCGUGGACGAUGAAGGCCUUCGGGUUGUAAAGUCCUUUUCUGGGGGAAGACAUGGACGGUACCCCAGGAAUAAGUGUCGGCUAACUACGUGCCAGCAGCCGCGGUAAAACGUAGGACGCGAGCGUUAUCCGGAUUUACUGGGCGUAAAGGGCACGCAGGCGGCCGGAUGAGUCGGACGUGAAAGCUCCUGGCUUAACUGGGAGAGGUCGUUCGAUACUGUUCGGCUUGAGGUAGGGAGAGGGGUGCGGAAUUCCCGGUGUAGUGGUGGAAUGCGUAGAUAUCGGGAGGAACACCAGUGGCGAAAGCGGCACCCUGGCCCACACCUGACGCUGAGGUGCGAAAGCGUGGGUAGCAAACAGGAUUAGAUACCCUGGUAGUCCACGCCGUAAACGAUGUCAACUAGGUGUUGGUAGUGUUACACUAUCAGUGCCGUAGCCAACGCGUUAAGUUGACCGCCUGGGGACUACGAGCGCAAGCUUAAAACUCAAAGGAAUUGACGGGGGCCCGCACAAGCAGCGGAGCGUGUGGUUUAAUUCGAUGCAACACGAAGAACCUUACCAGGGCUUGACAUGGAAGUGGUAGUGAAGCGAAAGCGGAACGACCCUUCGGGGAGCUUACACAGGUGCUGCAUGGCUGUCGUCAGCUCGUGUCGUGAGAUGUUCGGUUAAGUCCGCUAACGAGCGCAACCCUCGCCGCGUGUUAUACGUGUCACGCGGGACUGCCAGUCUUAAGCUGGAGGAAGGUGGGGAUGACGUCAAGUCAGCAUGGCCUUUAUGUCCUGGGCUACACACACGCUACAAUGGCCGGUACAGUAGGUAGCGAAGCCGCGAGGUGGAGCCAAUCCACAAAGCCGGUCUCAGUUCAGAUUGCAGGCUGCAACCCGCCUGCAUGAAGACGGAGUUGCUAGUAACCGCAGGUCAGCUAUACUGCGGUGAAUACGUUCCCGGGCCUUGUACACACCGCCCGUCACGUCAUGGGAGCUGGUAACACCUGAAGUCAGUAUUCUAACCGCAAGGAGGGAGCUGCCGAGGGUGGGGCUGGUGACUGGGACGAAGUCGUAACAAGGUAGCCG